AUUGAACGCUGGCGGCAUGCCUUACACAUGCAAGUCGAACGGCAGCACGGGAGCAAUCCUGGUGGCGAGUGGCGAACGGGUGAGUAAUAUAUCGGAACGUGCCCAGUCGUGGGGGAUAACGUAGCGAAAGCUACGCUAAUACCGCAUACGAUCUACGGAUGAAAGCGGGGGAUCGCAGGACCUUGCGCUGAUUGAGCGGCCGAUAUCAGAUUAGCUAGUUGGUGAGGUAAAGGCUCACCAAGGCGACGAUCUGUAGCGGGUCUGAGAGGAUGAUCCGCCACACUGGAACUGAGACACGGUCCAGACUCCUACGGGAGGCAGCAGUGGGGAAUUUUGGACAAUGGGCGCAAGCCUGAUCCAGCCAUGCCGCGUGAGUGAAGAAGGCCUUCGGGUUGUAAAGCUCUUUCAGCCGGGAAGAAAACGCAUGGGUUAAUACCCUGUGUGGAUGACGGUACCGGAAUAAGAAGCACCGGCUAACUACGUGCCAGCAGCCGCGGUAAUACGUAGGGUGCGAGCGUUAAUCGGAAUUACUGGGCGUAAAGCGUGCGCAGGCGGUUUGUUAAGAUAGGCGUGAAAUCCCCGGGCUCAACCUGGGAACUGCGUUUAUGACUGGCAAGCUAGAGUAUGGCAGAGGGGGGUGGAAUUCCACGUGUAGCAGUGAAAUGCGUAGAGAUGUGGAGGAACACCGAUGGCGAAGGCAGCCCCCUGGGCCAAUACUGACGCUCAUGCACGAAAGCGUGGGUAGCAAACAGGAUUAGAUACCCUGGUAGUCCACGCCCUAAACGAUGUCAACUAGGUGUUGGGAGGGUAAAACCUUUUAGUACCGGAGCUAACGCGUGAAGUUGACCGCCUGGGGAGUACGGCCGCAAGGUUAAAACUCAAAGGAAUUGACGGG
rnacentral:rRNA from 1 species